rnacentral:lncRNA from 1 species
GUCCAUCGUCUCGCCAUAUGUGUUACAAAUAUAUAGGCCUAAAAUGUGUAUGUAAAGUUAGGUUGGCUACGUACCAACCAGCUAGCAUGCAUGGCAGAAUAAGAGCCGUUUGGUUCGAUAAUGCCUGGGGGCUGGGAUCCAUAGGUAAGUAACCCUCAAGCUCCAGGGUUGUAAGGUACCUGCUUCAUCAUGUAAGUCGCUCCGACGUAUACAUGCUGUGCUAUAAAGGAAACCAAGCAUGCAUUGUUUUUUAUGGAACACUGGAGUGAUAUUUGCGACAAAACUGUGACUGUGAGAGAAAACAAAUGCGAAGAAGGAUUUUUUUCGAUCUUUCUUUUCUUUGAGUCAGACUCUUUGGUUUAAUUUUACUAGCUAAUUGCACAUAUGUUGCAACGGGGUAUACAUAUUUUAGUGGUUCAACAUCAGUUUUGUCCGACACAUACCUUACACGCAUCAUAUUCUAAAUUUUGAAAAGAUUUAAUUUGAUUUAAGUACGGGUAGGGGAAGGUAAAUAUUGUGAAGAGAAAAACGGGCAAGGAGGUGAGGCGAACCGGUAGGAACAAACGUCUGCAAUAAAUGGGGAUUGAACGGAGUGGAAGCGAUGCAAAAAAAAAAA